rnacentral:rRNA from 1 species
AUUGAACGCUGGCGGCAGGCCUAACACAUGCAAGUCGAACGAGUGGCGGACGGGUGAGUAAUGUCUGGGAAACUGCCUGAUGGAGGGGGAUAACUACUGGAAACGGUAGCUAAUACCGCAUACCAUCCGAUUUGCCCAGAUGGGAUUAGCAAGUAGGUGGGGUAAAGGCUCACCUGGGCGACGAUCCCUAGCUGGUCUGGGGGGAUGACCGGCAACACUGGACCUGAGCCCCGGUCCGGACUCCUACGGGGGGCAGCAUUGGGGAAUAUUGCACAAUGAGCGCAAGCCUGCUGCGGCCAUGCCGCGUGUAUGAGGAAGGCCUUCGGGUUGUAAAGUACUUUCAGCGGGGAGACGUUACCCGCAGAAGAAGCACCGGCUAACUCCGUGCCAGCAGCCGCGGUAAUAC